UACAGAGGGUGCGAGCGUUGUUCGGAAUUAUUGGGCGUAAAGCGCUUGUAGGCGGCUUGUUAAGUUCCGUGUGAAAUCCCCAGGCUUAACCUGGGAAGUGCGCGGAAAACUGGCGAGCUUGAGUGCCGGAGAGGGUCGCGGAAUUCCCGGUGUAGAGGUGAAAUUCGUAGAUAUCCGGAGGAACACCGGUGGCGAAGGCGGCUUCCUGGACCGACACUGACGCUGAGGCGCGAAAGCUAGGGGAGCAAACGGG
rnacentral:rRNA from 1 species